CAGCAGCCGCGGUAAUACGGAGGAUGCAAGCGUUAUCCGGAAUCAUUGGGCGUAAAGGGUCCUGAGGUGGUUUGCCCAGUCUACUGUGAAAGAUCAGGGCUCAACCCUGAAAAUGCGGUGGAAACUAGCAGGCUAGAAUACGGUAGGGGCAGGGGGAAUUCCCGGUGUAGCGGUGAAAUGCAUAGAUAUCGGGAAGAACACCAAUGGCGAAAGCACCCUGCUGGGCCGAUAUUGACACUGACAGACGAAAGCUAGGGGAGCAAAUGGGAUUAGAUACCCGCGUAGUCCCUGUCUCUUAUAU
rnacentral:rRNA from 1 species